AAUGUUUGUGGCUUGGAAGGACAACUAUUGAGUGCAUUCAGUAUCAGUAAGUUUGGGAUACGCUUACUUGGAGAAUCAGAAAUGGGCAGCUGCAUUGCCUCAGACUCAAGAGGAAAGAAGGAAAAAAAAAGGAAAAACUAGCUACCUAAAACAAGAGAAGAGGUUUGGCAGUCCAUAACCAUCAGGCCACAUUCUGCAUGCCUAGAAACAUAAGAGAAUAGGCAUACUAUGAAAAUCAAAACAAGGAAUAAGAGGAGUUCUGAACUCUUGGAAGCAUCUAAUGAUCAGUACCGUCUCAGAAGGGAAACUGCAAAGAAUACUCCGGUGAUCCAGAUGGUCAAAGGAACAGAGAGUUUAAAUGAGACAUAUUUGCAGAUAGCCACUCAGUUGAACCCACAGGACAGCUAAGCUGUUCAAAAAGAGAUGUGAAGGCAUCCAGAAGCAACUGAUCUUUGCUGAAGAUUCUUUGCACAGGAGGGAAAGAGAUUUUUUCAAGGAACAAGAAGUCUGAACCGUUUUACAAGAAGCAAACUAUGAACUGCAAGCAUAACACAGAAUAGAUGGGGAAAGUCUGAAGGAGAGAUUCCACUGCAAUGAAAUGUUUGAUCCAAUUGAAUACAAUAGCUGAAGAUGGUCCUGAAAAUAGAACAUAAGAUCAUACGCAACAGGAAGAAAAAAAUACAUCAUUAAAUACUCCUCAAGAUCAAGCUGCAAAUGAACUAACAGUCCUGGUCCUUCAAGCUGAAUGUGGUAUUGUUCUCAUCUUUCAUUCAGAGGGUCUUGAAAGCAUUGAACUAUUCGGAUUUGUGGAUCAUAAAAGCAGGGUUCUCCAAGACAAACGUAGACAGAAUGUUUGAUUAGGUGCAGCUUUCAGGCCGAUAGCACUUUGAUCAUGGACCCCACAGAUAGUCAAAGUUCAGAAGCACUGUUACAACCUUGCUUUCACAAAACAACAGAAAACCAACAGAUGACAACAGUUAUUUUAUUCUGAUACACUAGAAGUACAUUACCAUAUCCCCCUCAAGAAAAAAAAAAGACUAUAAUUUGCAUAAAAAGGUUGCAUUUACAAAAUACGCUUUAAUGUAAGCAAUAACAAAACCAGAACUAUUACUAGGCUCCUUCACAAGAA